rnacentral:rRNA from 1 species
CCUACGGGAGGCAGCAGUGGGGAAUAUUGCACAAUGGGCGAAAGCCUGAUGCAGCAACGCCGCGUGAAUGAAGAAGGGUUUCGGCUCGUAAACUUCUAUCAACAGGGACGAAAGAAAUGAUGGUACCUGAAUAAGAAGCCCCGGCUAACUACGUGGCAGCAGCCGCGGUAAUACGGAGGGGGCAAGCGUUAUCCGGAAUUACUGGGUGUAAAGGGCGUGUAGGCGGGAAAGCAAGUCAGAUGUGAAAACCAUGGGCUCAACCUGUGGCCUGCAUUUGAAACUGUUUUUCUUGAGUACUGGAGAGGCAGACGGAAUUCCUAGUGUAGCGGUGAAAUGCGUAGAUAUUAGGAGGAACACCAGUGGCGAAGGCGGUCUGCUGGACAGCAACUGACGCUGAGGCGCGAAAGCGUGGGGAGCAAACAGGAUUAGAUACCCCAGUAGUC